CAGCAGGCACCCGAUGUUGUACAGACGUUGAUAUUUGGUUGAAAAUAGGUCGCAACGUCGGCGACCUAAAUUCAACGUCGGUUCAACGUCGACUGGCAAACGUCUGUCGGACGUUAUAGAAUGACGUCUAUGUAACCUUGUUUUUUGGUCACGACCUUAUACAACGUUGACACAACGUCGGAUUCCAAAUGUCGGUCGGACGUCUAUAUUAAUCGAAAUAACACGUACCUGGAAAUAUAUACCCAGCAGGCACGCAACCUUUUAUUUAUAUUGGUUUACUUGUGUUUUUGAAUAAAUUCAACGAUUACUGUUGCUAAUAUAUCUAAUUGAUAUGAUUAAAGUGAAUGAAUAAACUGUUUUAAAAUUUUCGCCGUAAAAUAUUUCAAUUACACAAAACUGAUUUUAUUUCAAUUGGCGCAUGCGUAUGAGGCCGACAUUUCGAAUUUAUGUGCGCCAAUUUGAUUACAACAACAAUUUCUACGACGGAUGCUGUAAGAAGUGCAAAAAAUGGUACAUGAAAUACAGGUAACAGCAGCUUACCUGAAGUACCCAUCUGGCAGAAUGGGACGAGUGGUCGGAAGAAGAAAGCUGAGACAUCAACUGAUGAAGCAGCAGACAUCAAUAAAAUGGAGCAGAAAUUUGACAUUGAUGUUUUCAAAAAUACCACAUUAAAAUAUGUUGAUUCA